ensembl:snoRNA SNORD15 Small nucleolar RNA SNORD15
CUUCAGUGAUGAGACGAUGACGAGUCGGAACGGGUCUCGGUCUGGUUCUGGUGGCUCCUGGUUCAGGUUCACGUUCUGUGGUCCUGCUCCAGUCCUCCAGAACAGCGAGGCCUCUUCAGUUGAAGACAUUGAGGCAUUUGUCUGAGAAGG